rnacentral:lncRNA from 1 species
CUUUAAACAGUUACAGAAAAAGUAUUUUAAUAAGACACAUAUAAUGUUAUGGUAUCAUAUAUUUGUGAAGGGUUGGCACAGGAAAUAAUCUAUUUGCAGAUUCUAUAUAUCGUCAAUAGAUGCAGAAAUGAACAGACAUGAUCCCCAAAAUUAUAACAGUUUGCAUACAGGCACACAUACAGUAUGUUAAACAGUUCAAUCACAUGAAAACUAACCACCAUUCUUAGGAAAACCCUUACGAAAAUGUAAAUCAGCUUUGAUUCGUGACUAUGCAGUAUUAGCUCUAUAGACUACCAGGUGAUAUGUGCAGCCCAACAAACGUAACGAUUGUGAUGUCCCCCUGUGUAUGAUUAUAAUAAUAAAUGGUAUAUGUAUAUAUAAUACAUAUUAUGUAUCAUAUAUUUGAUAUUUCUCAUCAAUUAUAUAUUUGCAUCCAUGUACAGUUCCUGCCAAGUUAAAAAGGACAUUGUAAAGUGCACGUGUUAAUCAUUAAUCAAAACAUCAAAAUUUCCCCCACUCCUCCAAUAUAUGUUGAGUAUAUUCCAAUAGUACCUCUUUAUCUCAAGCUGAGCUUUAUGCAUCUAUUCUACAAACCAUCCUAUGAACUUAUCUGAAACCGUUGUAUGCACUUCACAAGUUCUUUCAGACUAGUUCUAUUUUUACACCAAGUGAAAAAAAAUGAAGCAAAACGUUAUAUAUCGCAUUACAUCAUUAGGUGCAUUAAUCUGUCAAAGCAAGGGUAAAUGCUGCAUAAUUUAUAGAGAGAGAGGUUAAGUUUAACAGCACAGGCAACUGAAGAUGGAUGUUUCUCCCAGUACAAGUCACUAACCACACCUCUUUCUACCUAUCAAGCCUUUCAACCAAACAUAUAUUUGACCUCCAUGACAAAGAACAACUCUGAAAUACUCCACAAAGACUUGACCAGACCAGUUACAGCCUCUGUCCCUCAAAGAACUUGCUCUUACCACCAUCCCUUCAAUAGUGCGAUCAGAUUAUCAAAAACGAUGUAUCUAACAAAUCAAAAGUUCAUUUCCAGAUUAUUUUUGGGCGGGGCAAAUAAGGGGUGUUUCCUUUUUAUUUGGUCUUCUCUGGUUCUGUUUGUACUCCUGCAUCUGACUGGCGUUUCCCC